rnacentral:lncRNA from 1 species
UCUUUCAUCUUUCUUUGACAUCUCUUGUGAAAGUGCUGAGUUUCUUUUUUUCCUCCAUUGAUUAGACUUCUGGUUUGAGCCUGAGUAGGAUGAGGCAGUGUCCUCCUAAUGGUCUGAUUUUAAGACCAUUUGAACUUGUGGAGUUUGCAGUUCUGGUUUUAAAAGGAUACAGCCCUCAAGUUACAUUUUUUAACAUCUGAGAGCAUGCCUAUGUGUUUUGCUUGUGACUGU